CAAUAGUGUAUCUUAAUGUUGUUGCAGUUAAAAAGCUCGUAGUUGAAUUUCUGGGGGGUGUUUCAAGGUACGUCCUGUUUCUGCCCCCUCAUCCGCUUUGGAACCAGGAGGGGUAUUUAGUUAUCGGCCUGGGGAAGGGGCAUUUUACUUUGAAGAAAUUAGAGUGUUCCAGGCAGGCUUUGCUUGAAUACAUCAGCAUGGAAUAAUGGAAUAGGAUAAUGUUCAUUUUAUUGGCUAUUGAACUUGUAAUGAUUAACAGGGACAGUUGGGGGCAUUCGUAUUCAUUUGUCAGAGGUGGAAUUCUUGGAUUAACUGAAGACGAACUAAUGCGAAAGCAUUUGCCAAGGAUGUUUUCAUUAA
rnacentral:rRNA from 1 species